rnacentral:rRNA from 1 species
AACGAACGCUGGCGGCGUGCCUAAUACAUGCAAGUCGAGCGGACGAAUCGAAAGCUUGCUUUUGAUUCGUUAGCGGCGGACGGGUGAGUAACACGUGGGCAACCUGCCCUGUAGACGGGGAUAACACCGAGAAAUCGGUGCUAAUACCGGAUAACACGAAAUGUCGCAUGACGUUUCGUUGAAAGACGGCGCAAGCUGUCGCUACAGGAUGGGCCCGCGGCGCAUUAGCUAGUUGGUGAGGUAACGGCUCACCAAGGCGACGAUGCGUAGCCGACCUGAGAGGGUGAUCGGCCACACUGGGACUGAGACACGGCCCAGACUCCUACGGGAGGCAGCAGUAGGGAAUCUUCCGCAAUGGACGAAAGUCUGACGGAGCAACGCCGCGUGAGCGAAGAAGGCCUUCGGGUCGUAAAGCUCUGUUGUUAGGGAAGAACAAGUAACGCAGUAACUGGCGUUACCGUGACGGUACCUAACGAGAAAGCCACGGCUAACUACGUG